rnacentral:lncRNA from 1 species
UCAGCAUCCUCAGGAUACAGAGUUUAAAAAUACCAUUUCCUUUACCCAACUGCCCUUGUGUCCUGAGCUGAGCACCCCGACACUGACCCAGACCCUUAAGGGAGCUAAUGCAUCGGAUGGCUCUGUGCAGGGUGACUGAGAAGCAGUAUCUUUGCCAUCAGUGUCUUUCCGAGGAACUGAGUUUAGAAAUCCGUCUCUACUAAGAUGCCCUUCAUCAUCCUAAGCCCUCUCAUUCUUUGUCCCAGGUCCCAUGAUGUGAAAAAUGGAGGUGAUCUUACUCAUUCCACCCGUCAUCCCGGUCAGUCCUCUCCCCGCCCGGUCACCAGUCAUCGGGGUGUCACCAACAAGCAGGCCGCAUCCGGGCUUACUGGCCCACAGCUACCCUGUCACACAAGAAAGAAAUCACCUCACUUGAACGGGACCAGGCCAAGAAGUUCCAUGGCCAGUCCGAAUGGAAGUCCCCGUGUCAGCAGGGUUAGUCCUGCUGACACUCCUACAGGAGUUAACUGCCACCCGGGGAUGGCAGAGCACCCUAAGGAACAAAACCUCACCAUCAGCAUUCAGGACAAGCCUGGUCACCAAGCGCAGUCUCAGCCUAACCAACACAGCAAUUCCAGGGAGGCCCCUAACAAGCCUGUUCCUCCUACCGCCAUCAGCUGCUCUGCGGUACAAUCCACCCUGAAUGCACUGACAGUGUUGAUUUACAGUGAAGCAGCAGAGACACUCUCCCCAAGCGCGUCCUGCUCCAAGCCAGUGAUAAAUGGCAAGUCCAAGUUACCAGCUGCUUCCUUGCCUUCUAUUCCGGAAGACAAACCUUUAGAGACCUUCAGGCUUAGCGACGAAGUAAAAGGCUCAACAGAUGAAACCAGGUAAAGUAAGAAUAAAUUUGGAGGAAGUGAACUUCACAGUAGAAAAUCCAACGCUGAGUGGAUGUGUCAGCGUUUUAACUCUGUAAAAGUGUUACUGUGAGCAUCCCGAGCCCCUAGAUUUGAAAAACAGUCUAUAGGAUGUGCUCAUUUGCCUUUGAGAAGAGUUAGAGAACAGUCUGCGACCGCUUGUCGUUUUCUUCUGCGCCGCCUGCUCUGGCUCACAGUGCCUGUGCCCACUUCCGCUUCCACGUGCUUUCUCAUGUCGUCUUUUCAGUGAUGAGUGAGUGUGUGACGGGCAUACUGAGUUUAGAGGAAGAGGAGUCCCAGAACUGUCAUGAAGCAACUAUUUUGUAAGGGCCUCUCUAGAAAUGUGAAAUUAAUUUCAUAGAGAAUAUAAUUAUCCCCUGCCUUCAGUUUUAAGAAACAUCAGUGCAUUGGCACAGCUGUCAUGUGACUCGGAGUAAGAGGAAGGGAAUUGGAAGUGCAGCCG